UUUGCUCAGGUUGGUUUGACAGUGUUGGUAUACUAUUAUUAUGUAAGACAUGUGACAACAGGGGCAGUCCUGCAUGGUCUGGUAUGAAGCAUGGCUGAAGUAAACCAAAGGCCAGGUGGCCUUAUUUCAGAGUUAAGAUUGUUUUGCUGAAGGAGUAGUUUGCCAUGCACCAUCCACCAUCUUAUCUGCACUGUGCUGUGUGAUGGGAUGCCCCCUCAGAACCAUCAAACUCCAGCAGCAUGUUUAAUUUGAUUCUGUUUGACUAAGGACUGCGUUCGUAAACUGAUUUUGCUUGGGAUCAGGCACACCACCAGAGAGUCCAACAGUUUGAUUGUUGAGCUCCUGCAUGGUGCUGGAUUUGAAGUGAGUGCUUGUACACACGGAUCGCUGCAUCCAUUCUGCUAACAUUACACCAGUCUCCAUGGUAACGUCAUUGCAGGAUAUUGUCCAAGUCGUAUUUCCCCUGGUAACUAUGGCAACAUAAUGACCGGAACCAGCUAUUUGAUGUCUACUACUGUCAUCGUGGGAACUAUACUCGACCUGUACUUGGCGAUGGUUUCACAAGCACCAUCAAGAAUUUCAAUUAGUUCUCUUCCUGCGUUCGGAUCUUCAUAAAGGACACAUGCGCUGUUUUAAUAAAAGAUUGUUGUCCUUCAAUUAGCUUGAUUUCCUUGAAUCUCACAUGGCAAGCAUUUUGCUUGGGGGGGGGGGGGAAGCUAGGUACAAUAUUGGUGAUAUGCGAAAUCUGAAAUGGAUCCUAUUAGUUUAGUCAAGUCCCUGGUACUCCUCUCCGACUAAACGAUAGAGGGUGUGUCCACUCCAAACCAAUAAAUACACAAAUAAAAUGCUCCCAUACUUUAAAACAAUCUUUUCCCUGUGACACAAUUCUUUUCCUCCAAAAGGGAUGUACACAUGGUUGCACCCGCAAAUUUACUAUAGUUAUAUAGUUGCUUCAUAUUUCCCACACCUUGCAAAGCUUCAAACAUCACUUGAGCAAAGGUUAUCUCACUAUGAUUAUACAGCAUUGGCAAGCAUUGGCA